rnacentral:rRNA from 1 species
AACGAACGCUGGCGGCAUGCCUAACACAUGCAAGUCGAACGAGACCUUCGGGUCUAGUGGCGCACGGGUGCGUAACGCGUGGGAACCUGCCCUUAGGUUCGGAAUAACUCCCCGAAAGGGGUCCUAAUACCGGAUAAUGUCUUCGGACCAAGGCUUUAUCGCCUUUGGAUGUGCCCGCGUUGGUUUAGCUAGUUGGUAGGGUAAAAGCCUACCAAGGCGACGAUCCAUAGCUGGUCUGAGAGGAUGAUCAGCCACACUGGUACUGAGACACGGCCCAGACUCCUACGGGAGGCAGCAGUGGGGAAUAUUGGACAAUGGGCGAAAGCCUGAUCCAGCAAUGCCGCGUGAGUGAUGAAGGCCUUAGGGUUGUAAAGCUCUUUUACCCGGGAUGAUAAUGACAGUACCGGGAGAAUAAGCUCCGGCUAACUCCGUG